rnacentral:sRNA from 1 species
GCUGGGCAUGGCGGCCCAUGCCUGUAAUCCCAGCAACUCAGGAGGUUGAGGCAGGAGGAUUUCGAGUCCAAAGCCAGUCUUAGCAAUGGCAAGAUGCUAAACUAUUUAUUCAGUGAGACCCUGUCUCUA